CUUGACACAUUUUUGUGACUUGAUUCCCAAAAGAGUUUCACUGGCUAUGGCAUGGAAAAUCCUAAAAUAGCCCCUCCAGAUCUUCCACUCUAAUCCCCAGGACUGUGAAUGUGAUGAGAUUUCAUGCCUAUGAUUAUGUCACAUUAUGGACAAAGGGAGAUUCUCCAUGUGGGCUUAAUCUAAUUGCAGGAGCCUUUUAAAAGCAAAGAGUUUUCUCCAGCUGGUAGCAAGAGGGAAAGUCAGAAAGUGUCAGAGCAUGAGAAGGAUGCAAUGCAUGGACGUUGACUUUUUUUUUUUUGGAAGAUUAGCCCUGAGCUAACAUCUGUCACCAAUCCUCCUCUUUUUUGCCAAGGAAUACUGGCCCUGAGCUAACAUCCAUGCCCAUCUUGCUCUACUUUAUAUGUGGGACAACUGCCACAGCAUGGCUUGACAAGCAGUGCGUAGGUCCACACCCAGGAUCUGAACCAGUGAACUCUGGGCUGAAGCGGAACUUGCAAACUUAACCACUGUGCCACUGGGCCGGCCCGGAUGUUGACUUUGAAGGCGGGAUGGAGGAGCAUCCACAAGACCAGACAGUGGCCUCUAGGAGCUGAGAGUGACCCCUGGCCGAUAGCUAGAAAAGAAAGCAGGGACCUCAAUCCUAGAGCCACAGGAAACUGAAUUCUGCCAGCAACUGAACACAUUGGGAAACUUCUCCAGAGCCUUCAGAAGUGAAGUUAAGAGGGGAAACCUCAACUAAAUCAGUUUGGGAAGGCCUGUACGGGGAGCUCUCACGCCUUAUCGUACAUCAUCAAUUACUCCAACCAGGAAGAGACUAUGCUUGCAUCUCCAACAGGAGGGUAUUUUCUACUUCACUACCCAGCAGGAGGAAGGAUGAUUUCUCUCCUUGCCCGGCAACAGCUCAGCCAACGAGAGACUGUAGCAACCCAGCCAAUGGGAAGCCUCUACACUUUGGACUCCCAGUUUCCUCUGAUGGAUUUUUAAAUUUAUUACAACCCUUCUCAACUCCCCCUUUUCCUCUGUAAAAGUAGGCCCCUUUUUGUUGUUUCUCUGGAUUUGCCUAUGGUCCCCCAGACCCUGCCUAUCUGGAAUUGAAAUUCUUUUGGUCGUUUCCAAAUAAACUCGUUUUGAGGGUAAAA
rnacentral:lncRNA from 1 species